AGUUUCUAACCGGAUGUGUGGCAUUGUUCUAGAAGGAAGCUCACAUACAUCAAGAUAUGCUAACCAGCUGUCCCAAACAUUGACGUUUUAUCAUUAAAGACACUUUCUUAAUUCUUGACCCGACUUGUGGUCGACUCGGAAGAUAGUUUGACGGCUGGAACGGCGAGUUUUGUCAUGUCGUCGCCACUGGAGAUGACGGAAAUGUACGACAACGCUUUACUGGGCAUCCUGCAGCACGCUGGAAACAUUCAAGACUUUCUCCAAGUCUAUUUUGGAUUUUUGUACCGAAAGACGGACUUCUAUCGCCUCCUUUCCGGUCCCGGGGACAAGAUGGGCUUCCCGCCCGGUGUCGCCGAAAAGAUGGUGGUCAAGACGUACAAACUGUUUGAGAAGAUGGCCGAUCACAACCGUGAGCUGCAGAAGAGACAGGAGGAGACCAGAACCGUCCCUGCGGCUGUCCAGGAGCUGGAGGUCACCUCUGAGCCCCAGCAGGCGAGUCUGAAGGAGGCCACGGCAGCGGCGAGCGCAGCCCCGGAUCCUGUCCCUGAGACUGAGACUGAACCUCAACCCGCCGGUGUUGGCACCGAUAGUCCACUGGCUCAGGCAGACCUGGCGGCGGCGGCGUCCAACACAGCAGAGUCAAAUCAGGAGACGCCGAAGCCGGAUUCGGACAGUUACAAUGGCGCCGUGAGGGAAAACUACAAGUGGUCCCAGGACUACACCGAUGUGGAGGUGCGCGUGUUCGUGCCCAAGUCGGUGGUCAAGGGUCGACAGGUGAGCGUCACGCUGCACAGCAACAGCGUGCGUGUGUGCAUGAGGGCGGGGCCACAGGAGGAGACGCUGAUGGAGGGAGAGUUCACACAUAAGAUCAACACGGAAAACUCCCUGUGGAGCCUCGAACCUGGCGACUGCGUUGUCCUGUCACUCAACAAAACCUCCGAGGUUUGGUGGAAAGCGGUCCUCAGCGGCGAGGAGGAGAUCGACGUGAACCAAAUCAACCGCGAGCGCUCCAUGGCGACCGUGGACGAGGACGAGCACGCCGUCCUGGACCGCCUCACCUUCGACUACCACCAGAAGCUGCAGGGCAAGCCGCAGAGUCACGAAGUGAAAGUGCAUGAGAUGCUGAAGAAGGGCUGGGAAGCCGAGGGCUCGCCGUUUAGAGGACAGCAGUUCGACCCCUCCAUGUUUGACAUCCCCCCAAGUGCGGUGCAGUUCUGAGGCCCCGCCCACCCGCAGGUCAUGACAACAAACUUGUGCUUUAAUGACAUGAUCAGCAGGGGGUGUCAACAAUCAGGUACAGGUCAGUGGUUUGGUACCACUUCCAGUCGGGGACGAUGGAAACACAAAUACGUGCAGCGCUGGGCGUGUCGAGUGUCUUUUUAUUCUCAAAAGAAUGAAAAUUCGCAUUUGUUCUAAAAUGAAAUAAAACACUUGUCGGGCUGGGCUGUACGCCUUUUCUUCGUU